CGGCCAGACUCCUACGGGAGGCAGCAGUGGGGAAUAUUGCACAAUGGGGGGAACCCUGAUGCAGCGACGCCGCGUGGGUGAAGGGGCACCUCGGUGCGUAAAGCCCUAUCGGCAGGGAAGAAACAGACGGUACCUGACUAAGAAGCCCCGGCUAACUACGUGCCAGCAGCCGCGGUAAUACGUAGGGGGCAAGCGUUAUCCGGAUUUACUGGGCGUGAAGGGGGCGCAGGCGGCGCGCCAAGCCCGAUGUGAAAGCCCGGGGCUCAACCCCGGGACUGCAUUGGGAACUGGCGUGCUGGAGUGCCGGAGGGGCAGGCGGAAUUCCUGGUGUAGCGGUGAAAUGCGUAGAUAUCAGGAGGAACACCGGUGGCGAAGGCGGCCUGCUGGACGGAUACUGACGCUGAGGCCCGAAAGCGUGGGGAGCGAACAGGAUUAGAUACCCGCGUA
rnacentral:rRNA from 1 species